GUGAGAGUAAACUGGCAGAGGGAGGGGGAGAACAGAACAAUGGGGAAAAACCCAUUAGGCAAUUAAUCUCUCUUAAUAAGAACAUUAACAUUCUCCAAGCGAGAGCAGAGGCAGUUUGGAACUAGUCAAUUUUCUCUUUUCCAUCUCUUGGUGGAUAAUUGGGAAUACUGAGUUGGGGCAGGAUUACGGUUCCCCAGGUAACUGCUAUGGAAGCAGAAGGGAACAGAUUUCUCUUCACCACACCUCCAGGGGAACAAAUGGCGUGAACGAAAGCAAGAGAAAGACUUGGAUCACGGACAUAAGAUAUAUUGAGGCAACCCUUUAAUGGAACGGAGGGUGCCGUCCUAGGUGAUCUCUGAAGAGCUCGUUUCUUUGGAGGGCUUUUUCAAGUUUCCUUUCAAAGCACACCUCACACCAGGAAUGUGAGGGAAAUGGAUGAAGAACACUAUAGACCAAUUUCAGAUCAUGAGGGGGAAAAAAUACUGUAUGGUUGACUGAAGAGAUGGCAAGGUUACGGGACCAGACAUCUGUUAUUUUUUUCUAAAGAGACCAAUAACACUCAAGGUUUAUAUGCUUGAUUACAAACAGGCACAAGCGGCAUGAAAAUAGAGCUGUUACUCUUUAAAAUUCAGAGCAGGAGAUGCCCAUAAAAAAAAAUUUGACACGGGAUCAGAGGACAACCUCAAUAUCAAGGAUUGGUUAUUAAAAAAUUCCCAGAAAACCUGGCAUCUACUUAUUUGUUAAAAUGCCCAAAUUACACAUGCUCAGAUAAAGAGAGAAGCUUGACCCCGCUACACGCUCCAUUUACCCAAAACAAGCUACUUAUUAACUACCCAUACUGGAUCUGUUUGCUUAGUGAAUAUAAAUAAAUAGAUGCGGGUUGGAAAAAAAAGACGACAAAUUGAGUCUUUUUUUAUUACACAGGUAACUGGUAUUUAAUAGGCAAAUAUGUAGUUAGUAACUGGUAUUUAAUAGGUAAGAGUGUAGUUAGUAACUGGUAUUUAAUAGGUAAGAGUGUAGUUAGUAACUGGUAUUUAAUAGGUAAGCGUGUAGUUAGUAACUGGUAUUUAAUAGGUAAGAGUGUAGUUAGUAACUGGUAUUUAAUAGGUAAGCGUGUAGUUAGUAACUGGUAUUUAAUAGGUAAGAGUGUAGUUAGUAACUGGUAUUUAAUAGGUAAGAGUGUAGUUAGUAACUGGUAUUUAAUAGGUAAGAGUGUAGUUAGUAACUGGUAUUUAAUAGGUAAAUAUGUAGUUAGUAACUGGUAUUUAAUAGGUAAGAGUGUAGUUAGUAACUGGUAUUUAAUAGGCAAAUAUGUAGUUAGUAACUGGUAUUUAAUAGGUAAGAGUGUAGUUAGUAACUGGUAUUUAAUAGGUAAGAGUGUAGUUAGUAACUGGUAUUUAAUAGGUAAGACUGCAGUUAGUAAAUGGUAUUUAACAGGUAAGUACUUUAUUGAGUACAAGUAAAUAUUGUAUAUAUUGUACGUAAGUGCAUAGCAACGUAUGUGGAAAAGCUCAGGUAGCACUCAUACUGGACAAAAACCAUGUAAAAAUAAAAAAUUCCCACCUUGUGCAACUGUGUACACAUGGAGGCCAUGCUAAUGCGAACAGGCAUUCAGUAUAGCCAGCCAAUUAAACAGCCUUUGAUUAGCUUCUAAUGAGAGUUCACACUCAUCUCUAGCCUGGGUCACUUGUUUUGCUUUGGUGGCCUGCUACAAAUGAGCUCUUUUUGCAAGGUUGCCUUCUGCUUGGUCCCCAAAAGACAAACACCUCCACAAUUAGUGUCUGUAAUUGUUCACCCAUCACCUAGACCAAAUGCACCUGUAAUUACAGUGUCCCCGAGCAUGUGCGCACACACAGACAGACAGAGAGACAGACAGACAGAGCAAUUCACACACAUUAGAUGAUGCAUGUCAUUUACAAUGGUGCAGAUGCAUCUUCACAAUCACUUAAGAACGUGAAAAAUAUAGGAGAAACGAUUAUUUAUUUAUUCAUAAAUAAUAAUACUAAUACCAACUUUAAUAGUAACUAUUGUAAUAAUAAUAAUAGGUUCCACUGCCUAGUGAGUCUUACCAUAACAAAACACACAUGCCGAAUAUAAUUAACCUUCUUGCCACGAAACUAUUGCAAGUACUAGUUAAAAGUAUGGACAUAUGGGUGGAGUUAGAAAUAGUGCAGACCACUGAUUGGUCAAAUGCA
ensembl:lncRNA